CUGUUAUCAUGUAGUGUAUGAUGGUUAAAAUCUUCCUAUUUAAGAGUGUCUAUUAUUUUGUAGGUUCAUGAAAGGCAAGAUGGCGAGAUUGAUAUUCUCACAAAAGGUGAUAACAAUUACGGCGAUGACAGGCUACUCUAUGCCCAAGGUCAGCUUUGGCUGCAAAGACAUCACAUUAUGGGUAGAGGCGUCGGGUUCUUACCUUAUGUCGGUUGGGUAACGAUUAUUAUGACCGAGAAACAUAUCAUCAAGUAUAUUCUGAUUGGUGCAUUGGGUUUGCUGGUGAUAACUUCAAAAGAUUAACAUGACUGAAUCCAAAUCCAAGUCAAUGGUCUAAACCUCCAAGAAUACUGUCU